ACUCCUACGGGAGGCAGCAGUGGGGAAUAUUGNACAAUGGGCGCAAGCCUGAUCCAGCCAUGCCGCGUGUGUGAAGAAGGCUUUCGGGUUGUAAAGCACUUUCAGCGAGGAGGAAGGCCUUAAGNUUAAUACUCUUNAGGAUUGACGNCACUCGCAGAAGAAGCACCGGCUAACUCC
rnacentral:rRNA from 1 species